UACGGAGGGAGCUAGCGUUGUUCGGAAUUACUGGGCGUAAAGCGCACGUAGGCGGCUUUGUAAGUUAGAGGUGAAAGCCCGGGGCUCAACCCCGGAACUUGCCUUAGACUGCAUCGCUUGAAUCCAGGAGAGGUGAGUGGAAUUCCGAGUGUAGAGGUGAAAUUCGUAGAUAGUUCGGAAGAACACCAGUGGCGAAGGACGGCUGCACUGGACUGGUAUUGACGCUGAGGUGCGAAAAGCGUGGGGAGCAAACAGG
rnacentral:rRNA from 1 species